rnacentral:rRNA from 1 species
AGUGAACGCUGGCGGUAGGCCUAACACAUGCAAGUCGAACGGCAGCACAGUAAGAGCUUGCUCUUACGGGUGGCGAGUGGCGGACGGGUGAGGAAUACAUCGGAAUCUACUUUUUCGUGGGGGAUAACGUAGGGAAACUUACGCUCAUACCGCAUACGACCUACGGUUGAAAGCAGGGGAUCUUCGGACCUUGCGCGAUUGAAUGAGCCGAUGUCGGAGUAGCUAGUGGGCGGGGUAAAUGCCCACCAAGGCGACGAUCCGUAGCUGGUCAGAGAGGAGGAUAGGCCACACUGGAAGUGAGACACGGUCCAGACGCCUACGGGAGGCAGCAGUGGGGAAUAUUGGACAAUGGGCGCAAGCCUGGUCCAGCCAUACCGCGUGGGUGAAGAAGGCCUUCGGGUUGUAAAGCCCGUUUGUUGGGAAAGAAAAGCAGCAGGUUAAUACCCCGCUGGUCUGACGGUACCCAAAGAAUAAGCACCGGCUAACUUCGUG